AGAACUCACCAGUUCCCGUAUAAUCACUGAAGUUAAGCAAUGUUGAGCCUAAUCAGUAACUAGAUGGGUGACCGCUUGGCAAUACCAGUUGCUGUAA